AGAUGGAUUGGUGCCUUCGGGAACGUCUGACACAGGUGCUGCAUGGCUGUCGUCAGCUCGUGUCGUGAGAUGUUGGGUUAAGUCCGUAACGAGCGCAACCCUUGUCCUUAGUUACCAGCACGUUAUGGUGGGCACUCUAAGGAGACUGCCGGUGACAAACCGGAGGAAGGUGGGGAGUGACGUCAAGUCAUCAUGGCCCUUACGGCCUGGGCUACACACGUGCUACAAUGGUCGGUACAAAGGGUUGCCAAGCCGCGAGGUGGAGCUAAUCCCAUAAAACCGAUCGUAGUCCGGAUCGCAGUCUGCAACUCGACUGCGUGAAGUCGGAAUCGCUAGUAAUCGUGAAUCAGAAUGUCACGGUGAAUACGUUCCCGGGCCUU
rnacentral:rRNA from 1 species